GCCUGGGUGGCUUAGUUGGUUAAGCGCCUGGCUUUGGCUCAGGUCAUUAUCUCGCAGUUUGUGGGUUCAAGCCCUGCGUCAGGCU
rnacentral:tRNA from 1 species